UGAAUAUUUUGGUAAACUUAUCGAAAGGUAAGGGCACAAAGCUAUGGGUCUAAGGAUACAAGUGUAUCUAUGAUUGCCAGGUUGCCUGU
rnacentral:ncRNA from 1 species